rnacentral:rRNA from 1 species
GACCAGCCACACUGGAACUGAGACACGGUCCAGACUCCUACGGGAGGCAGCAGUGGGGAAUUUUGGACAAUGGGCGAAAGCCUGAUCCAGCAAUGCCGCGUGAGUGAAGAAGGCCUUCGGGUUGUAAAGCUCUUUUGUCAGGGAAGAAACGGUGAGGGCUAAUAUCCUUCGCUAAUGACGGUACCUGAAGAAUAAGCACCGGCUAACUACGUGCCAGCAGCCGCGGUAAUACGUAGGGUGCAAGCGUUAAUCGGAAUUACUGGGCGUAAAGCGUGCGCAGGCGGUUUUGUAAGUCUGACGUGAAAUCCCCGGGCUCAACCUGGGAAUUGCGUUGGAGACUGCAAGGCUAGAAUCUGGCAGAGGGGGGUAGAAUUCCACGUGUAGCAGUGAAAUGCGUAGAGAUGUGGAGGAACACCGAUGGCGAAGGCAGCCCCCUGGGUCAAGAUUGACGCUCAUGCACGAAGGCGUGGGGAGCAAACAGGAUUAGAUACCCUGGUAGUCCACGCCCUAAACGAUGUCUACUAGUUGUCGGGUUUUAAUUAACUUGGUAACGCAGCUAACGCGUGAAGUAGACCGCCUGGGGAGUACGGUCGCAAGAUUAAAACUCAAA